GAUAAACGCUGGCGGCGUGCCUAACACAUGCAAGUCGAACGAAGCAGUAGCAAUACUGACUGAGUGGCGGAAGGUGAGUAACACGUAGGAAUCUGCCUCAUCGGAGGGAACAACCAGUCGAAAGAUUGGCUAAUACCCAAAAGGAUUGGCGACAAUCAGAGUCGAAAGGCCUGGUGAGAGGAGCCUGCGGCCCAUCAGCUAGUUGGCAGGGUAAUGGCCUACCAAGGCAACGACGGGUAGGGGGUCUGAGAGGACGUCCCCCCACACUGGAACUGAAACACGGUCCAGACGCCUACGGGUGGCAGCAGUGAGGAAUAUUGGUCAAUGGGGCGAAAGCCCGAA
rnacentral:rRNA from 1 species